rnacentral:rRNA from 1 species
AUUGAACGCUGGCGGCAGGCCUAACACAUGCAAGUCGAGCGGAUGAAGGGAGCUUGCUCCUGGAUUCAGCGGCGGACGGGUGAGUAAUGCCUAGGAAUCUGCCUGGUAGUGGGGGAUAACGUCCGGAAACGGGCGCUAAUACCGCAUACGUCCUGAGGGAGAAAGUGGGGGAUCUUCGGACCUCACGCUAUCAGAUGAGCCUAGGUCGGAUUAGCUAGUUGGUGGGGUAAAGGCCUACCAAGGCGACGAUCCGUAACUGGUCUGAGAGGAUGAUCAGUCAAACUGAAACUGGAAAACGGUCAGAACCCCUAGGGAGGGAGCCGGUGGGAAUAUUGGACAAUGGGCGAAAGCCUGAUCCAGCCAUGCCGCGUGUGUGAAGAAGGUCUUCGGAUUGUAAAGCACUUUAAGUUGGGAGGAAGGGCAGUAAGUUAAUACCUUGCUGUUUUGACGUUACCAACAGAAUAAGCACCGGCUAACUUCGUG